AACAAGGGAGGCUGAGCAAGUAAGGAGGAGCAGAGCAAGUAAGGGGGGGACUGAGCAAGUAAGGAGGAGCAGAGCAAGUAGAGGGGAGCAGAGUAAGUAAGGGAGACCUGAGAGCAGGUGGGCAAAAACGUCUGUUAGCCUCUGAGCGCCCUCAUCCACACGUCUCCCAGCACAACGGAUACUCCAGUAUAAAGAUAAUCACACGACCGUAGAAGUAUUAUUAUUACUUUCAUGGAGAAUGGACUACAAGUGAGAUGGAGAAAGACAAGCAUAUUUCCUCCCUCUGAUCUACACAGCUCCACUAGACACUACCUGUACCACCGAUGAGGAAGAGUCUCCUGUGCAAGACCUGCCUGCUGUCAAGUCUCAGAUGUGACAGCCUGUUGUAUGCAAGUACACAGCAAGUCAAAUUCAUAAAGCUCAUCUGAUGGCUACUCGGCCUUAAGAAGCAAAACACUUUCAAUAUUUCAAUAAUUGCAAAAAUUUUAAGCCUGGAUUUCAGGAAAAUAAAUGCCCCCAAAGUGUCCCUAUCUUUUAGGUGUAAUCCUACUAGGGUUUCGAGAGAAACAUCUCCCAAUACUUGCAGUUUUCAUCGAGGUUGAAUUUUUUCCUAUCCAUGUCAGUGAGUAAAAAGUCUACUCUAAGCCAAUAGAGAGUGACAGACAGAAUAAUAAUAUCAGCUGUAACGGCUUCAUACGGUCACACAUGGAUUUUUGGCAUUCUUCAUUAUCGCUAGUUAAGAGACUCAUGAGACAAAAUUUGUCAACUCUUUGAUAAAAUAAAAUGAAAGUCUAAAUAUUUUCUCUUUUUCCUGCCAGGAAUGACCUGGCCAUUGCUCAGUUGGAUGCUGUAAA